rnacentral:rRNA from 1 species
CCUGGGAAGUACGGCCGCAAGGCUGAAACUCAAAGGAAUUGACGGGGGCCCGCACAAACGGUGGAGUAUGUGGUUCAAUUCGACGCAACGCGCAGAACCUUACCUGGGCUUGACAUCUGGGGAAGUCCCUAGAGAUAGGGAGGUGCCCCUUCGGGGAACCCCAUGACAGGUGCUGCAUGGCAGUCGUCAGCUCGUGUCGUGAGAUGAUGGGUUAAGUCCCGCAACGAGCGCAACCCCUGUUCUUAGUUGACAUCGGUUCGGCCGGGCACUCUAAGGAGACUGCCGGUGCUAACCGGAGGAAGGUGGGGAUGACAUCAAGUCAUCACGGCCUGUAUGCACAGGGCUACACACGAACUACAAUUUACUGACCGAAAGAUAGGCUACCCGCGAGGUGGAGCUAAUCAACUACACGCCGGUCUCAGUUCGGAUUGGUCUCUGCAACUCGAGACCAUGAAGGUGGAAUCGCUAGUAAUCGCUGAUCAGCAUGCAGCGGUGAAUACGUUCCCGGGCCUUGUACACACCGCCCGUCACACCACGAAAGCUGUUUAUACCAGAAGUGCGUGACCCAACCUUCGGGAGGG